rnacentral:misc_RNA from 1 species
AACACCUCAAAACAUUUGGUCUUUUCCAAGCGUUUUGGACUUGAGCAAACCCAACACCUUACUUAUCUCACGAUUCGGCGGCGGGUUGCUUGAAAUGCAGGUGCAGCUGGACAUUCUCCUGAGCUAAAAGCAUAUCUAUUUAGUCCCGUCAAACGGAUUAUUACUUUUUGCUGCAGCUAACAUAAAGGGAGAAUUGACCGUAUUGGCUGACUGAUGCAGGAUUUCACAGAGUCGGAAACGAUUCUGUCAA